UACACCUGGUACAGAGAGAAUGGAGGACAGCUGGAGGAGCUGCAGACUGGAUAUAAUCUCACCUUCAAUGUGACUGAUCGUACACACACAGGACGCUACUACUGUCAAGCCAAAAACCAACAUGGUACUCAAAACACAUCAGUGUUGCUGGACAAGAGAGUGAAAUCUGGAGCUACAAAAAUGUACGAUUGUCAGCAGACUGUAAUUCCACUCCUGAUCAUCUUAACACUGAUUAUUAUCCUGUACAUAUCCUGACUGAUUCAUACCCUGACUGUUGGAUUUGGACUUGGAAGUUGAGCAACAAGCUGAAGGUUCACAAUGAUGCAGGCACAUAUGGUUCUCUUCAGCUCUCUGCUCCGGUGUCUGAAUAUGAGACUUUGAAUAUUAAGAAAGAUAACACACAGUAAACAACAAAUAAACAUUUGGUAAUUUCACCCAAUUUGUCUCUCUGCCAAAAAAUAUGGGUAACAAUGGGGCCUCUAUUUUUAUUAAUAAUAAAUCAAAUUUACUCUUUACUCCACUUUCCUGCAACAGUGCACCUUUGACGUUAGUUUUUUUUUACAUGUGAUUAAUCUGUGACGUUUACAUCUACAGCAAAAGACAAAAAAUACCAGCACUCUUUCACAUGCUUAAAGUAACAACAUCUAAAAAUAAAUAUAUCCUAC